rnacentral:rRNA from 1 species
GUGGGGAAUAUUGGGCAAUGGGCGAAAGCCUGACCCAGCAACGCCGCGUGAAGGAAGAAGGUCUUCGGAUCGUAAACUUCUAUCCUUGGUGAAGAUAAUGACGGUAGCCGAGAAGGAAGCCCCGGCUAACUACGUGCCAGCAGCCGCGGUAAUACGUAGGGGGCAAGCGUUGUCCGGAAUGAUUGGGCGUAAAGGGCGCGUAGGCGGCCUGGUAAGUCUGGAGUGAAAGUCCUGCUUUUAAGGUGGGAAUUGCUUUGGAUACUGUCGGGCUUGAGUGCAGGAGAGGUAAGUGGAAUUCCCGGUGUAGCGGUGAAAUGCGUAGAGAUCGGGAGGAACACCAGUGGCGAAGGCGGCUUACUGGACUGUAACUGACACUGAGGCUCGAAAGCGUGGGGAGCAAACAGGAUUAGAUACCCGAGUAGUCC